GGCUCAGAACGAACGCUGGCGGCGUGGAUUAGGCAUGCAAGUCGAACGAGAAAGAUCACUUCGGUGAUUGAGUACAGUGGCAAACGGGUGAGUAACGCGUGGGAAAUCUGCCCUUUGGUUGGGGACAACACUCCUAACGGGGUGCUAAUACCGAAUAAGUUCUCUGUAUCGCAUGGUACAUUGAAGAAAGGCGGCCUCUGCUUGCAAGCUGUCACCGAAGGAUGAUCCCGCGUUCCAUUAGCUUGUUGGUGAGGUAACGGCUCACCAAGGCAACGAUGGAUAGCCGGCCUUAGCGGGUGACCGGCCACACUGGGACUGAGAUACGGCCCAGACUCCUACGGGAGGCAGCAGUCGAGAGGCAUCCACAAUGGGGGCAACCCUGAUGGUGCGACGCCGCGUGGGUGAUGAAGGUUUUCGGAUCGUAAAACCCUUUCAGCAGGGACGAAGGAAGCGGCGGUUAAUAUCCGUCGCAGUCAGACGGUACCUGCAGAAGAAGCUCCGGCUAACUCCGUGCCAGCAGCCGCGGUAAGACGGAGGGAGCAAGCGUUGUUCGGAAUUACUGGGCGUAAAGGGCGUCUAGGCGGACUGAUUAGUCAGGUGUGAAAUCCCCCGGCUCAACCGGGGAACUGCACUUGAUACUGUCAGUCUUGAGUUCGGAAGAGGAAAGCGGAAUUCCUGGUGUAGCGGUGAAAUGCGUAGAUAUCAGGAAGAACACCGGUGGCGAAGGCGGCUUUCUGGUCCGAAACUGACGCUGAAGCGCGAAAGUGUGGGUAGCAAACACGAUUAGAUACCCUGGUAGUCCGCACUGUAAACGAUGGAUACUAGGUGUCGGGGGUAUCGACCCCUCCGGUGCCGGAGUUAACGCAUUAAGUAUCCCGCCUGGGGAGUACGGUCGCAAGGCUGAAACUCAAGGAAUUGACCGGGACCCGCACAAGCGGUGGAGCAUGUGCUUAAUUCGACGCAACG
rnacentral:rRNA from 1 species